CGGGUGCGUAACGCGUAUGCAACCUACCUUCCACAGGGGGAUAGCCCACCGAAAGGUGGAUUAAUACCGCAUAAGACCACGGUCCUGGCAUCAGGAUGUGGUCAAAGCUUUGGCGGUGGAAGAUGGGCAUGCGUGCCAUUAGCUAGUUGGUAGGGUAACGGCCUACCAAGGCUUCGAUGGCUAGGGGUUCUGAGAGGAUGGUCCCCCACACUGGUACUGAGACACGGACCAGACUCCUACGGGAGGCAGCAGUAGGGAAUAUUGGGCAAUGGCCGAGAGGCUGACCCAGCCAUGCCGCGUGCAGGAAGAAGGCCUUCUGGGUUGUAAACUGCUUUUAUCUGGGAAGAAAACGCUCUUGCGAGAGUAACUGACGGUACCAGAUGAAUAAGCACCGGCUA
rnacentral:rRNA from 1 species